rnacentral:lncRNA from 1 species
AAACCUGGCUCAGGUAAAACUAUAAAUUGUACUUUAUUCCUUGCAGAAGACAAUCAAAACAAAAAAUGUGGAGAGAAAACCAUCGGUGAUGAAACCUUGACAGCACAUCAUUCAUGGCAGCUUAAGCCUGAGGUGCAAAGAGUUAAUGGAUGACAACCAAGAAGUACCAUAGGAUCUACAACGCAGUUUGGCGAUGGCAGAGAUCUGACACAAGAACUAAGGAAAGACCCCAGGUCAUCUGAGUCAUUUGAAAGCUGUAUCAUGCCUCAAAUUCCUGAGGCAUAGGACUUUGAUCCAUAUGGACUUCUCCACCAAGAUCCAUCUGCCCCACUCCAAAUCAGGCAACCUAAUAUACCUCAAAGAACCUUAACCACCACUUUUUAAGGGACAAUCUUUAUCCUUCCUCCCUUAUUUUUUCUAAUCCCUACUCUGCUUUGUGAUUUCUAUGAUAAUGAAAGAAAAAAAGGAAUUCAGAUAAAUCAAA